AGCGAACGCUGGCGGCAGGCUUAACACAUGCAAGUCGAGCGGGCGUAGCAAUACGUCAGCGGCAGACGGGUGAGUAACGCGUGGGAACAUACCUUUUGGUUCGGAACAACACAGGGAAACUUGUGCUAAUACCGGAUAAGCCCUUACGGGGAAAGAUUUAUCGCCGAAAGAUUGGCCCGCGUCUGAUUAGCUAGUUGGUGAGGUAACGGCUCACCAAGGCGACGAUCAGUAGCUGGCUGAGAGGAUGAUCAGCCACAUUGGGACUGAGACACGGCCCAAACUCCUACGGGAGGCAGCAGUGGGGAAUAUUGGACAAUGGGCGCAAGCCUGAUCCAGCCAUGCCGCGUGAGUGAUGAAGGCCCUAGGGUUGUAAAGCUCUUUGUGCGGGAAGAUAAUGACGGUACCGCAAGAAUAAGCCCCGGCUAACUUCGUGCCAGCAGCCGCAGUAAU
rnacentral:rRNA from 1 species